rnacentral:rRNA from 1 species
UACGUACUGGCAUUGUUGGUUUCUCCCUUCUGACGAACCAUGAUGUCAUUUAUUUGGUGUUGUGGGGAAUCAGGACUGUUACUUUGAAAAAAUUAGAGUGUUUAAAGCAGGCUCACGCUUGAAUACAUUAGCAUGGAAUAAUGAAAUAGGAUGUUUGAUUCUAUUUUGUUGGUUUCUAGGAUCGACGUAAUGAUUAAUAGGGAUAGUUGGGGGCAUUAGUAUUCAAUUGUCAGAGGUGAAAUUCUUGGAUUUAUUGAAGACUAACUACUGCGAAAGCAUUUGCCAAGGAUGUUUUCAUUAAUCAAGAACGAAAGUUAGGGGAUCGAAGACGAUCAGAUACCGUCGUAGUCUUAACCAUAAACUAUGCCGACUAGGGAUCGGAUGAUGUUAAUUUUUUAAUGACUCAUUCGGCGCCUUACG